AUCUAGCUGACGAGUCCCAAAUAAGAUGAAACGCGCGUCCUGGAU
rnacentral:hammerhead_ribozyme from 1 species